rnacentral:rRNA from 1 species
GACGAACGCUGGCGGCGUGCUUAACACAUGCAAGUCGAACGCUGAAGCUCAGCUUUUGUUGGGUGGAUGAGUGGCGAACGGGUGAGUAACACGUGAGUAACCUGCCCCCUUCUUUGGGAUAACGCCCGGAAACGGGUGCUAAUACUGGAUAUUCACUGGUCUUCGCAUGGGGGUUGGUGGAAAGGGUUUUUCUGGUGGGGGAUGGGCUCGCGGCCUAUCAGCUUGUUGGUGGGGUGAUGGCCUACCAAGGCUUUGACGGGUAGCCGGCCUGAGAGGGUGACCGGUCACAUUGGGACUGAGAUACGGCCCCGACUCCUACGGGAGGCAGCAGUGGGGAAUAUUGCACAAUGGGCGCAAGCCUGAUGCAGCGACGCCGCGUGAGGGAUGGAGGCCUUCGGGUUGUGAACCUCUUUCGCUCAUGGUCAAGCCGCAACAAUGGUUGUGGUGAGGGUAGUGGGUAAAGAAGCGCCGGCUAACUACGUG